UAUUUAGAAGACCCUGGAGCUGUGGUCCUUCAGGUCUCUGUUGGCAGAGAAAUGGCUGCUCCUGAUGCUCUCCACUCAGCCUAUUAACAGUGAAGGGCCAGGUACUUAUUUCCCAUCAUUCUGUACCGAGGUUUAAUAGUCUGUUCUAGUAGGCAGUACUCGUACAAAAUUAUACCUGUGUACAUGUUCCAAUGAGAACAGCUUCUACAGUCUUUUACUUGUGUUGAAAAGUUACAUAUAUUUCUAAUAAGUAUUAGAGAGAAACUUUUUCUCAUGCCAAAAUGAUGCUGAAGGGUCCAUACUUGCUAUACUCGAACAAAGUAGCCUCCAGAUGGUUGAUAGUUUAUUCCCUUUCCUUGAUUUGUUUUGAGCUCAUCUUAAUACAGAUGAGGCUGUCCAGACCUUUAACAUUGCUAGUGUGCCCUGAGACAUUUGUGGGCACAUUUUUGAAUGUUGAUUCAAAAAUGUCCUGAGGUAGGAAUAGGGCAGUGGGAAAGUCAGGGAAAGGUGAGAAGCACAGUAAAGAUUAUUUAUUUAAGAAAGAAUAAAACAUUGAUAUUGUAGCAAGGAUCCAGUUUGUUGUCAUAAUCCCAUGUGGAUUUGGGGAUGACGCGAUCCCCCUAAAUCAAUCAACAUGUUGGGUAAUGACUUUGUUCUUGCUGAUCUUGUCUGUGUGUCAUUGUAAAUAUUUGUGCGUCCAUGCUCCAUUUUGGCUACUGGAUGGCCAAGUCACAUAAAAAGAUUUAACUCGAGUAUUUAUUCUUUAAUUGUGUUCUUCAGAUUCCUUUCAGGCGUAUGACUUGCACCUCCAAUGCUUUAGUUGAACCACCUAGUCCUCACAUCUAUCAAUUCCCUGUGAAGCACAUUCCAUUGCUAAAAGAAAAAAAAAGAAA
rnacentral:lncRNA from 1 species